GAUGAACGCUGGCGGCGUGCCUAAUACAUGCAAGUCGAGCGAACAGACGAGGAGCUUGCUCCUCUGACGUUAGCGGCGGACGGGUGAGUAACACGUGGAUAACCUACCUAUAAGACUGGGAUAACUUCGGGAAACCGGAGCUAAUACCGGAUAAUAUAUUGAACCGCAUGGUUCAAUAGUGAAAGACGGUUUUGCUGCCACUUAUAGAUGGAUCCGCGCCGCAUUAGCUAGUUGGUAAGGUAACGGCUUACCAAGGCAACGAUGCGUAGCCGACCUGAGAGGGGGAUGGGCCACAGUGGAACGGAAACACGGUCCAAACCCCUAGGGGGGGCCGAAGUGGGAAAUCUUCCGAAAUGGGCGAAAGCCGGACGGGGCAACGUGGGGGGGGUGAGGAAGGUUUUCGGAUGGUAAAACCCUUUUAUUGGGGAAAAAAAAAUGUGUAAGUAACUAUGCCCGUCUUGACGGUACCUAAUCAGAAAGCCCCGGCUAACUACGU
rnacentral:rRNA from 1 species